rnacentral:rRNA from 1 species
AGCGAACGCUGGCGGCAGGCCUAACACAUGCAAGUCGAACGAAGCCUUCGGGCUUAGUGGCGGACGGGUGAGUAACACGUGGGAACGUACCUUUUGGUUCGGAACAACUCAGGGAAACUUGAGCUAAUACCGGAUGAGCCCUUAGGGGGAAAGAUUUAUACGCCGAAAGAGCGGCCCGCGUUAGAUUAGCUAGUUGGUGAGGUAAAGGCUCACCAAGGCAACGAUCUAUAGCUGGUCUGCGAGGAUGAUCAGCCACACUGGGUCUGAGACACGGCCCAGACUCCUACGGGAGGCAGCAGUGGGGAAUCUUGCGCAAUGGGCGAAAGCCUGACGCAGCCAUGCCGCGUGAAUGAUGAAGGUCUUAGGAUUGUAAAAUUCUUUUACCAGGGACGAUAAUGACGGUACCUGGAGAAAAAGCCCCGGCUAACUCCGUGCCAGCCGCCGCCGUAAUAC